UACGUAGGGUGCAAGCGUUGUCCGGAAUUAUUGGGCGUAAAGAGCUCGUAGGCGGUUUGUCGCGUCUGCUGUGAAAACUCGGGGCUUAACCCCGGGCCUGCAGUGGGUACGGGCAGACUAGAGGUAGGUAGGGGAGAAUGGAAUUCCCCGGUGUAGCGGUAGAAUGCGCGAUAUCAGGGAAGAACACCCGUGGCUAAGGCGGCUCUCUAGUACGGUACUGACGCUGAGACGCGAAAGCGUGGGGAGCAAACAGG
rnacentral:rRNA from 1 species